GGGUGGUUAGCUCAGCGGUAGAGCAUUGCCUUCACACGGCAGGGGCCACAGGUUCGAUCCCUGUACCACCCACCA
rnacentral:tRNA from 1 species